UCAUCAUGCUGCAUGUCCAUCAAAGGUCGUCUUCUCUCGAGGCAGUCUCUAACUGGAAUGUUGGCACCGGUUGCAUUUCAUUGGGUAAAGCUAUACAUUUGUCAGGUCUCCAGGACUUUGAUUAACAGUGGGAGUAACAGAGCAAUCACUGUCUUAGUAACAACUUCAAAGGGAAGAUGCAUCAAGUUGAGGAAGACAUUGAUACAGGCUUUCUUCAGAGUCCUUAUCAAAGAAUUGUUUUUAUCCAGUGAAAAAGCAAGAAUCUCUCUCCAGGCAACAGAAGAUGACAGAAUGUACAAAGUGGAAGGGAACUUACUGACGUUUUAGGGCAGUGGUUGAAGACCAGGAACGAUUUUACCCCAGGGACAUAUGGCACUGCCUGGAGACAUUUUUGAUUCUCACACCUGGGAAGGAGUAGGCUCCUGGCAUCCAGUGGGCAGAGGCCAGAGAUGCUGCUAAACGUCCUGCAAUGCACGGGACAGGCCCCGCAUCAAAGAAUUACGCAGCCCAAAAGCUCAAUAAUGCCAAGGUUGAGAAAACCUCUGAUUUUAUGUAAUCUAAAACAUAGGCUCAAAGAGAUUGCAAUUAGUGUCCAAGGUUGAACAAUUAUUAUGUGACAAAG
rnacentral:lncRNA from 1 species